UCUUCCUUCUCCACAGUCACAGUGGAGGAACACAGAUCUUCUGGCCUCUGUGUAUCAAGGGCUCCCAGGUUCUGGAGAGUCAAGGACAAGGAGGAAAGAACUUCAUGAGGGUGGCUUCACAUUUGUUUUUGAAUGGUUCCUCCUAGAAACAAAGAAAUACCUCUUCACCUAGGACAAGUCACCAAUUCAGAGGAACACAGAGAAGGAACUCACUCAUCCCUAUGUCUGCUUGUUGAGAGUAUGGCAUGCAGUAAAGGGGUGUUCUCACAGAAGUUGAGCUGGGACAGUGAACAGAGGCCCCAGCUUGGAGAAAAGAAGGUGCUCUCUGGAAGACCAAGCCAGGUCAAGUGACAGUAUCCCCAAGUCCUAGUGGUUCCCUGCCCAACUAUUGCUGGUGUCGCUGUUCUCCACACAGGGAGAACUCUUGGAACUAAGGGAACAACACAGCUCCAGCCAACCCACCAUGGGGCCCAGACCUGAUACUUGCAGACCUGAAGGAAGUUCACAUUGUUUUUACAAGACAUCUUGUCGUGUGGUUCUGCUCUUUUCUCACCUAAAAGGAUGAGGGGCCUUCUGAUGUACCACAGUGACCUUGAAGGUGACAACGACACCAUCCAUUCUUGCAAUAUCAUGACAGCUGCCUCUAGCACAGAGGGAAGUGGUACACCUGAUCCAUCCCCCAGAUGGCAGGAUGCUUAUGAAGACAUCAGACAACACCAGUGCAGAAGAGGGACUCAGGGAAGAUGUGUUCAUCAAUCCAAGAGACCUAAGAGGGAAGUGAUUCUAUCUGUCUUUAUUUCAAUUGGUGUUUUCCUCAGUUGCUCCACCCCUGGAGAAGAGGAUACUUGAGUUCAGGGCAGGUGAUCCAAUGUGGGUGACUUCUCCAAUAUAUGGAAGCUGCAAGCCAAGGAAACUUUGAAUAGACUGAUGACAUUUGGAGAGAAGCAAAGCUGGGGUGAAGUGAUUGGGAUCUAUUUGCUAGAUACAAAAGUCACUUUCUUCAUGUAGAAGAAUAUCCCUCAGAUUAAUAGCUGAAGAGCAGAAUGAUGAUGGUUCACAACAGAGGAAAAGCAAGUCGGUUUCUCUCUGAAGAGAUGAGACUUAAAACAAUGGGGGGGGAUCCCUCUUGUCCCUUUGCUGAGGCAGAAGUUUGAAAACAUUUUCUCUUAGUGAAUCUAAGACAGUGACACUCGGGGCUUCUGAGAAUAUAAACUAAUUAUAAACUAAUACAUUGUCCUUGGAGAUGGGUUUCAGAAUACUGUGUGUGAGGCGUGUGUGUGGGAGGUGUGUGAGAGAGAUGGGUAUGGUGUGUGUGUGUGUGGUAUGUGUUGUGUAUAUGUGUGUGUGAGAGAGGGUGUAUGUGUGUGUGUGAGGGGUGUGUAUGUGGUGUGGGUGUGUGAGGGGUGUGUGUGAGGGGUGUGUGUGUGUAUGUGUGUGUAUGUGUGUGUGUAAUACUUAAGCUUCAAUGUGUCCAGUGAUCUUAUAGAUAAUUAUAUAUGGGCAUACAAGACUGAACUUGAAUUAAAGUACAGAACAGUUAAAGGAUGUGUGUGUUGAAAAUGAAUGUAGACUUGUAUGGGUGAUGCGAGCACUAAAGACCUUCUGACCAAAGAAAGUCCUGGAGAGCUGUGGCUAGAGGAGGGGGACUGCAUGGUGGGGGGUUCUGAGAGUCAGAUCAGAGCCAGGGAGGCAGUGGGAUGAGAGAUUGUGCAGGAUCCCAGACAUCCAUCUGGUUGGCAUCUCAACAUCUGCCUUGAGCUGUCCACUCCAUGGACAGCUGGGG
rnacentral:lncRNA from 1 species